rnacentral:misc_RNA from 1 species
GAUGAAGAACGUAGUGAAAUGCGAUACGUAAUGUGAAUUGUAGAAUUCAGUGAAUCAUCGAGUCUUUGAACGCACAUUGCGCCCCCUGGUAUUCCGGGGGGCAUGCCUGUCCGAGCGUCAUUGCUGCCCUCAAGCACGGCUUGUGUGUUGGGCCUCCGUCCUCCUCCCGGGGGACGGGCCCGAAAGGCAGCGGCGGCACCGCGUCCGGUCCUCGAGCGUAUGGGGCUUCGUCACCCGCUCUUGUAGGCCCGGCCGGCGCUUGCCGACACAUCAAUCUUUUUUCCAGGUUGACCUCGGAUCAGGUAGGGAUACCCGCUGAACUUAAGCAUAUCAAUAAGCGGAGGA